rnacentral:rRNA from 1 species
AUUGAACGCUGGCGGCAGGCCUAACACAUGCAAGUCGAGCGGAUGAAGGGAGCUUGCUCCUGGAUUCAGCGGCGGACGGGUGAGUAAUGCCUAGGAAUCUGCCUGGUAGUGGGGGAUAACGUCCGGAAACGGGCGCUAAUACUGCAUACGUCCUGAGGGAGAAAGUGGGGGAUCUUCGGACCUCACGCUAUCAGAUGAGCCUAGGUCGGAUUAGCUAGUUGGUGGGGUAAAGGCCUACCAAGGCGACGAUCCGUAACUGGUCUGAGAGGAUGAUCAGUCACACUGGAACUGAGACACGGUCCAGACUCCUACGGGAGGCAGCAGUGGGGAAUAUUGGACAAUGGGCGGAAGCCUGAUCCAGCCAUGCCGCGUGUGUGAAGAAGGUCUUCGGAUUGUAAAGCACUUUAAGUUGGGAGGAAGGGCAGUAAGUUAAUACCUUGCUGUUUUGACGUUACCAACAGAAUAAGCACCGGCUAACUUCGUG